rnacentral:rRNA from 1 species
CAGCAGCCGCGGUAAUACGGAGGGUGCAAGCGUUAAUCGGAAUUACUGGGUGUAAAGCGCACGCAGGCGGUUUGUUAAGUCAGAUGUGAAAUCCCCGAGCUUAACUUGGGAACUGCAUUUGAAACUGGCAAGCUAGAGUCUUGUAGAGGGGGGUAGAAUUCCAGGUGUAGCGGUGAAAUGCGUAGAGAUCUGGAGGAAUACCGGUGGCGAAGGCGGCCCCCUGGACAAAGACUGACGCUCAGGUGCGAAAGCGUGGGGAGCAAACAGGAUUAGAGACCCGAGUAGUCCCUGUCUCUUAUAA